AUGUUGAGAAGGGUAUAUCUGGUUGCUGAAGCGAACCCUUCCACCGUGUGUGUAUUUACCAGCUCCCGCCCGAAAGGGAAUAUUCAAUUCCUCAAUUCUGUUCCAGGCUUCCAGCCCUCCGGGAUGGACUCCCACCACCCCUCGCCGGAAUACAGCUCGCUCCUCCUCGCCGGCCCUCGUGCUGGCGCUCUGAAACAAGCUCACGCGCGCAUCAUCGUCACAGGCCACAGUCGCUCCCUCCCCUUCAUCACCAAGCUGGCCACGCUCGCCGUCGCAGCGGGCGCCGCCCCGUACGCGCACCUCCUCGCGACCUCCCACCCCGCACCCGACUCCUUCCUCUUCUCCUCCCUCACGCGUACGGCCGCGCACCACGGCCUCCCGGUCGCCGCUAUUGCCUUCUACCGCAUCCUCCUCUCCGCCGCCCUUCCUUUCUCCAGUUUCACCUUCACCGCCGUCGCCAAGGCCUGCGCCGACCUGUCCGCUAUCCGAACCGGCACGGCCAUCCACGCGCACUCCAUCCUCCUCGGGUUUGGCUCGGACCGUUUCGUGCUGACGGCGCUUCUUGUGCUGUACUCCAAGUGCGGCCAACUGGGUGUUGCACGCAAGCUGUUCGAUGCAAUUCGUGAUAGAAGUGUUGUGGCUUGGAAUGCAAUGAUUUCUGGGUACGAACAGAAUGGGCUUGCCGAGCGGGCGAUUGAGGUGUAUAAAGAGAUGCAGGCGGUGAAGGCGGUGCCUGACUCCAUGACGUUUGUAGCCACGCUCUCUGCUUGCGCACAGGCUGGUGCACUGGACCUGGGGCGUGAAGUGGACAGACGUAUUGUUUCUGAAAGAAUGGACAUCAGUGUUUUUCUUGGCUCUGCUCUUGUCAACAUGUAUGCCAGGUGUGGUGUUGUGGACAAAGCUCGCAGAUGGUUCGAUGCGCUCCAGGAGCGGAACGUGGUUACAUGGACUUCCAUGAUCGCUGGAUAUGGAAUGCACGGCCAUGGUCAUGAGGCGAUCAAGCUGUUCCAUUUGAUGAGACGCGAGGGGCCGCCACCCAAUCAUGUCACGUUUGUUGCUGUUCUAUCUGCAUGUGCACACGCUGGGUUAGUUAUGGAGGGCCGUGAUGCUUUUGCUUGCAUGAAGAGGAUCUAUGGACUGGUCCCUCGUAUCGAGCACUAUUGUUCUAUGGUUGAUAUGUUUGGAAGGGCUGGACUUCUUGACGAAGCAAUGCAAUUUAUAAGCGAUUAUAUGCCUGGAGAGCCAGGGCCUGAAGUUUGGACAGCAGUACUUGGGGCAUGCAAGAUGCACAAGAAUUUUAAUCUUGGGGUGGAGGUGGCUGAGCGAUUGAUUGCUCUCGAGCCUGAGAAUCCAUCUUACCAUGUUUUGCUUUCUAAUAUUUAUGCUCUGUCUGGUAAAAUGCACCAUGUUGAGAAGGUGAGGAAUACCAUGAUCAAGAGAAGAUUGAAGAAGCAGAUAGGAUUCAGCUUGAUUGAGCUAGGAGGUACUUCCCAUUUAUUUCGCAUGGGUGAAAAGUCUCAUCCACAGACUACAGAGAUUUACCAGUACUUGGAAGAACUGAUUCAUAGGAUUAGUGCUGCUGGCUACAUGCCUGAAACUGAGUCAGUUCUGCAUGAGUUAGAGGAGGAGGAGAGAGAGGGUGCACUUAGAUAUCACAGUGAAAAACUGGCAGUAGCAUAUGGGCUCAUGAUGAGCGUUGGGAGCACCACUCCUAUCAGAGUAAUAAAAAACCUGAGGAUAUGCGGGGAUUGCCAUCUCGCCAUCAAGUUUAUGUCAUCUGUGGAGAAUCGAGAGAUUGUUGUCAGGGAUAAGCACCGUUUUCACCAUUUUAAAGAUGGCAAGUGUUCGUGUCUGGAAUAUUGGUAA
rnacentral:rRNA from 1 species